rnacentral:lncRNA from 1 species
GCUCAUAUGGCGGCCACUUUUCAGAAGUGAUUUCUUUGGCUUUUUUCCUUCCAUAGGCCCAAGAAACCACUCACACUGACCUGACCAGCAGGAACCCAGGGGAGCUGGCCUUAAUCCUGGCUUCCCUGGGGCUCAAAAGAAUCUGAAUCACAAUAGGUCCCUCCUGGCCAAGCUGACCCAGACCCUGACCCUGGCCUCUGAACUCCAGCCUGGGGGAUUACGUCAUGACCGAGUGGAACGCUGCUGCUUCUCUCUCCAAGCCUCUUGCACCAUUCUCCUUCUCCCUAGAAGUGCUCCUGGGACCACAGAGGGUGUGAGUAUUCCCUCCCUUUGCCCCCAGGUCUCCUCCGAACCCAGUGUACCCUGCAGAGUCAUCUGGCGCCCCUCCAGCUCCUCCCUGGCUUCCCUGUCUCUUUCCUGGGCUAUCCCUCUGGCCUCCUAAGGGGUCUCUGGCCUCCUGACACAUCAGUUCAUCCUCCCUAAUACCACCAGCAGGAUCUUUCUAGAACAUGCCCCUAAGAACCAUCAGGAGCUCAGUGUGCUGUAUGAAGACCUUCAGUGUCAGCACCAGCCCACCACUCCAACGUUAUCUUCCAUCAUCCCCUUUCUACCCACUGGGUCCCGGCCACACCAAACUACUCACCAUUUUAUCUAACUCCCGGCAUUAGAGUUAAGGGGUAUGUGCUCCUGUGUGCUCAGACGCACAAAAGACUGACUGACUUCACCUUGAAGCUGCCUUCUAGAUCCAGGCUCUGCUAACACUAGCAUCUCCCUGUGCCUUGCACACAAUGGCUAGAUGUACAGAAGCCAGAGAGCAACAGGCCGAUUCAAAUCCUGCUUCCCCGACUAACUAGUGUUCUUUGGGCAUAUUGCUUAAACUCUCUGGCCCUCAGUAUGUCCACGUAUAAAAUGGACAUGACAAGAAUUCCUGC